UACGUAGGGGGCAAGCGUUGUCCGGAUUUAUUGGGCGUAAAGGGCGUGUAGGCGGCCAGGUAGGUCCGUUGUGAAAACUCGAGGCUCAACCUCGAGACGCCGAUGGAAACCCCCUGGCUAGAGUCUGGAAGAGGAGAGUGGAAUUCCUGGUGUAGCGGUGAAAUGCGCAGAUAUCAGGAAGAACACCCGUGGCUAAGGCGGCUCUCUAGUACGGUACUGACGCUGAGACGCGAAAGCGUGGGGAGCGAACAGG
rnacentral:rRNA from 1 species